AGAAAUGAUUUGAUAGUGCUGGGGUGUCUCAGUCUGCCUGCGCUUAGUUGCGCGGCGGUAUUGAGCAUCUGUUAACAGUCUAUCUAACCAACACACGUGUAGUUUCUACUAUAUGCUAUUCUUCCUGGGCUCUAACUGCCCAGGGAUAAACACAAACAAAAAUUUUGAAAACUAGUCAAUUCUAUUUCAUAAGAAAUAAAAUAUUCA
rnacentral:misc_RNA from 1 species